GAUAGAAAUUUUCCUGACAGAACAGUUUUCUAGAAGAAAGUGCUGAUUUGACAGAAUCUAAACAUUUUAUGGGAACAUGUCAAAUUCCACUGAAACUUUAGAAAGAAACCCCAGGUGUGUCAGGAAAUGCACCCAGGAAGGGUAGAUUCUGAUAGUCACAUCUUCUGGUAAACACUUCAAGGGAUAAGAGACAACAGAGAGCUAAGGAGACACAGAAAAGAACAAAGAACUUUGAUUGGAUUGAAAAGGGGAGGAGCCAGGCAGGAGAUUCAAAAGGCAGAGACUCUUGGGGAACAGACUGACAUCAGGCGACAUGCAGACUCCAUAGGUCAGGAGUCUGGGAUUAAAUACUCUGGUUUAAGAAGACCUUUUGGAGUCACUGUAUUCAUCACUGGUCAUAGCUCCCAAGGAGAAGAACUACAGAUACAGAGUCCAGUCAGGCCUGCUGGCUUUGCAUCAAGUUUUCGGAAUACAAGGAUUUAUAGACUAUUGGCGAUUCAAGACAACAGCCAAUGCCAGUGCCAGAAACCUCUUUACUCUGCUUGUUAAUAGAAGAUAUUUAGUUUCCUGAUCAACUGCUACAUCACGUGACACUUCUUUUCUGUUUCUUCAUGCAAAAUAUCUUGGUCAGACCUUCACAUGCACCGCUUCAGCAUUUUUUUUCAAGCAGGAAAUAUUAAUGCAUCAGUGAGUUGUUCUGCCAGAAAUGUAACCCUGGUUGCAAAGCUUGGUGAUUUGCUGUCAUUCCCCUAUUAGCUUUCAUAUGAAAGGUGGGAACUGGAAGGACUGGACUUAAGCUUUCAUCCUUUGUGUUAUAGAAUAAGCCCCAGAUAGCUGCUCAGUGCUCAUGCCGAUGCUGGCUCAGUUUGGAAUUUUGUUUUGGGAACAUACAGGAGUAAAAUGAAUUUUGAACUCAAAUGGACUAAGGGAAGGGGAAGAUGGUAAAUGAAAGGAGGGGGUAAUUGAGCCACAUAAAUAACUUCCUGUACACCAUUAGCGAAAGCUGAAAGAAAAAAGGAGGGAGGGUGAUGACACAAGAGCUUUUCUCCAAAAGUACAUUUACAUGGGCUAUUUUUUCCAUGAGCAGCAGAGACAUAAAAGAAUCUAUUGUCUUUUUUAAUUAUAUGUGUAACUAGAGCUGGAAAUAACUACAUAAAAAUGCAGUCUUUCAUUGAAUCUAGGAAAAACUCUCAUUUUUUUUGUGAGGGAAGCAAAACCUUUUGCUCUUUCACCUGAAAUCUUCUGUUUCCUUUGAAAAUUAGAACAAGUAUGGAAACAAACGAACAGUCAAAAUUAAAAAAGAAAGCAGCAAAGAAGCAAAGAGUCCAAGCAGAACUCUUCCAUUUUGCUGAGCAAAUAUCUGACUUUGAGUCCGUGGGUUGCUGAAUGACCUUAGAAGUCUGCUUAUGCAAACAAGGCAAACCGAAGAAGUGCAAACUCAGAAUAGUAAGUCUUUUUUACUUAUGAUUUAUAUGUAAAAUUAUAGAUGAGUGAAUAGGGACUUGAAAUCUGAGACCCCGCCAUGAAUAGUGACCCUGAAAUUUCCAAGUCCAGAACUUCAAGUCUGUGGAUUGGAACUGCACUUCAAGUUUAGAUCCAGAAGUGGAAAGGACCUGUUAUCAAGAUCUGGUUUGGAUGCAACCCAAGAUUUGAUUCUGUUCUAUAUAGGUUCUUAAACCACCCUCAUCACCAUAAUAUCGGAGCACCUUCCAGUAGUGCAUUAAGCAAAGUAGCUAAAACCUGUCAUGUGUGACAUGUACUCUCUCAUCCUGUUCCUGUAGGGGGAGAACUGUGUGCACAGUGUAGUGUUUUGUUUUGGUAGGUUGGUUUGUAUUUGUUUUAUGCACAUGGUCCUAUGUGUGUGUUUGAAGGUGGUGAGAUUUGGGAUGGUCUGUAGUUCAUGUUGGAGUUCAUUAUACAGUCUAGGAAACAUCCAUCUCCUGCAAAGAUGUUUACCUUUGUGCUAAAAAAAAGUCCAUUAUGCCUCAGGAGCAAAGUUAUGGACCACAGUUGCCCUGCCAAAGUUUUAGGUAAUCUACAUAGCGUGGGGAUCAGGCUACUGAGUGCCUUGAAGAGAAGGAAUGAGACCUUGAGUUGAUAUUCUACAGGAAGCCAGUGUUGGCAGCUGAUGUGAUUGAAACCUGGACAUCAUUCAGAUAUGAAGGUACUUUGGAAUGCUUGUCCUCAAGGCAAGAGGCCCAUCCAUUACUUCUCACAAGAAGGCUGUAUUGCCACCUGUAGCCCUAGAGUCAGAAUUGGAGCUGUCAAUCAGUGAGGCUGUAGGAGGGAAGGGCAAUCCUCUGCACCUCCUUACUGAUUUCUGUACAGACUUUACUUCCUUAGCAAUGUGUUGAUCGUUGUAAUUUAUUUCAGUCAUAUGUACUAAAGAUCUAAAUAGGAGCUGGCUUGCUAAUUUUCAGGUCUGUGCAUUUCAAUCUGGGUUGCAACUUGACGAACUGUCUCUUUUCCAUCAGUCUUGUUGUUUAUGUUUAAUGUUCCUGUGGUUAAUAAAUAACGUUUUAUGUUGACAUUGCAA